rnacentral:lncRNA from 1 species
CGCGGGCAGGGUGCUGUCUCCCGCCUGUGGUUGCACCUGCUUGGCCUCAUCACUUCCCCAAGCACACAUCCUUAGAAAGCAGCAAGUUCUAUUACAAGAAAAGUUUAUAUUAAUAUUCAGAGACAUGCUGGAUUAUUCUUUGGUGGAUGAAUUCGGGUUUCCAUGGGGCAUGAGGCAUUCCAGAGAAGUCCUGAGAGAAAAAAAUUCAAAUAUACAGAAUUAGGAAGAAAGGUACUUGGGAGGCUGAGACAGGAGGAUCGCAAGAUGGAGGCCAGCCAGGGG